UACAGAGGGAGCGAGCGUUAAUCGGAGUAACUGGGCGUAAAGGGCGCGUAGGCGGUUUAUCAGGUUAGAUGUGAAGGACCCGGGCUUAACCUGGGAGGUGCAUAUAAGACGGAUAGACUAGAGUGAAGUAGAGGUAAGCGGAAUUUCCGGAGUAGCGGUGAAAUGCGUAGAGAUCGGAAGGAACAUCGGUGGCGAAGGCGGCUUACUGGACUUAGACUGACGCUGAGGCGCGAAAGCGUGGGGAGCAAACAGG
rnacentral:rRNA from 1 species